rnacentral:rRNA from 1 species
UACAGAGGGUGCGAGCGUUAAUCGGAAUUACUGGGCGUAAAGCGUGCGUAGACGGCUAUCUAAGUCGGGUGUGAAAGCCCCGGGCUCAACCUGGGAAUUGCAUUCGAGACUGAAUAGCUAGGGUGCGGUAGAGGGAAGCGGAAUUUCCGGUGGAGCGGUGAAAUGCGUAGAGAUCGGAAAGAACACCAACGGCGAAAGCACUCUGCUGGGCCGACACUGACACUGAGAGACGAAAGCUAGGGGAGCGAAUGGG